rnacentral:rRNA from 1 species
UACGUAGGGUGCGAGCGUUAAUCGGAAUUACUGGGCGUAAAGCGUGCGCAGGCGGUUAUGCAAGACAGGUGUGAAAUCCCCGAGCUCAACUUGGGAACUGCACUUGUGACUGCAUAGCUAGAGUACGGUAGAGGGGAGUGGAAUUCCGCGUGUAGCAGUGAAAUGCGUAGAUAUGCGGAGGAACACCGAUGGCGAAGGCAGCUCCCUGGACCUGUACUGACGCUCAUGCACGAAAGCGUGGGGAGCAAACAGG